UGGGGAAUUUUGCACAAUGGGGGAAACCCUGAUGCAGCGACGCCGCGUGAUUUAGAAGGCCUUCGGGUUGUAAAAAUCUUUUCUAUGGGAAGAAAAUGACAGUACCAUAGGAAUAAGGACCGGCUAAUUACGUGCCAGCAGCCGCGGUAAUACGUAAGGUCCGAGCGUUGUCCGGAAUCAUUGGGCGUAAAGGGUACGUAGGCGGGUAAGCAAGUUAGAAGUGAAAUCCUAUAGCUCAACUAUAGUAAGCUUUUAAAACUGCUCAUCUUGAGGUAUGGAAGGGAAAGUGGAAUUCCUAGUGUAGCGGUGAAAUGCGCAGAUAUUAGGAGGAAUACCGGUGGCGAAGGCGACUUUCUGGCCAUAACCUGACGCUGAGGUACGAAAGAGUGGGUAGCAAACAGG
rnacentral:rRNA from 1 species